rnacentral:rRNA from 1 species
UACGUAGGGGGCAAGCGUUGUCCGGAAUUAUUGGGCGUAAAGAGCGUGUAGGCGGCCAUGCAGGUCCGUUGUGAAAACUGGAGGCUUAACCUCCAGACGCCGGUGGAAACCGUGUGGCUAGAGUCCGGAAGAGGAGAGUGGAAUUCCUGGUGUAGCGGUGAAAUGCGCAGAUAUCAGGAAGAACACCCGUGGCGAAGGCGGCUCUCUGGGACGUGACUGACGCUGAGACGCGAAAGCGUGGGGAGCAAACAGG